GAAUUGCUUAUGCUAAUGAGGCAAAUAUUGUAAACAAGGAUUCCCGUAUACAUACGUCAAUGAAAGACUUGAGAAUCUAUAAAUUGCCUUUAACUGCGCAUGCAUUGAUAGAGGUGUUUUAAUCCUCCGAUCGUGACUCAAAGAGUGAUUCCACUCGUGAGAAAGGAAACUACACAAGCCAUGCGAGGUACUCAAGAUCUUUGAAAGCAACCGGAGUUCAGCCCACCUUCGGUUCAAUUUCUAUACCAAAAAGACAUGUUCUGUGGCUCAUUUUAGUUCUUACUUCCUUUGCAGCUGUUUAGCCUCGCCACAUGACACGCCCUCUCUCGGGCGCACGUCGGGAUUUGUGACAAAGCACCGAUAAAAGCGAGCUGAAUGCUCUAUGCUGGGAAUGAGUUCAUUUCGUUACUAUAGUAAACGAAGAUAUUUCUUUUUCUCAUAGAACACGGGCUUUUUUUUAGUACUCGAUGGUUACAGAUUUUAUUCGUUAACAGCAUAAACCGCCUCACUAAACCUAAACGAGACAUAAUUUAUUUCACCUUUCUUCAGGAAUCUUUCAGCAAAGUUGACAAAAAGCAGAGCGGGACCAUAGACAUGCAGUCCUUUGAGAACAUGCUGGCCUCUCUUCUUAAUGUUCAUCCGGGAUCCUUUACUAUGCAGAAGGUUCUUAGUAAUGUGAACAAGACCAAAUACGAUACCAUUACUGGCGUGGAACUACUGGCACACAUUCCGUACUUUGUGACUGCCGCACCAAAUGACAUUUAGUUUAACGCCGAUGGAUGCAAGUGCAGAUAUUAUACAGAAAGCGACAUUCUGUGCUACAAUGCAUCAAGUCGUUUAUGUGAUUGGCUUCUGUAUGUCACCUGCUGGGUGUGCAAAAUCAUCGUCAAAUUUGUUCUGUGUGUGGACGUGGUUCCAAAGACAACCAGUUGUCAAACAGGUCAUCAACCUGGAAAACCCAGCCUUUAUAAGCCGAAAGAAUGUGGAUUACGCAACAAGCCCCUCACGCCGUGAAAAUGGAGAUUUUAGAUGAAUUCCUUCUCAGAAACGGUCGUGAUGAGUUGUAGUUCAGUGGUUACCAAAAUAAUAGGCGGCGAAGUUGACUUUGGUUCUUAUGUGGUCUUUAUUUGAUCGGAAGACUGUCGCCUUGUCUCUUUGAAGUGAGAGUCAUGAAAAUCGAUAGAAUUACCUUUAAUACACGGAUCUAGCCCAUAAAAUGUCUUAAACUCAUUUGUAGAGAUUAGUUUAGAAAGUGGAAUAGAUUAGAAAGUGUUGGAAUGUACUGAACGUUAGCGAUGGUGUUUUGAUAAUUUCCUCUGUACCGACCCUGUUCACUUUCGGAUUCUUUUUAAAGUUUUAUUGUUAGUUUAUAAGGCCCUAAAUGGUAUGGCACCAUUAUAUAUCACAGAAUUACUUAGUUGUUGUUCAUGUUCACGUACGCUACACUCUACCGAUCAAAAAUUUCUGGCAGUUCCGAAGUCAAGACUUAAAAACAUACGGCGACAGGGCCUUUUCCGUUGCUGCACCUAAACUCUGGAACGAGCUGUCAUUAGAUCUUAGAAGUUUAGAUACACUUAAUUUAUUCAAGAAACACUUAAAGACUGAUCUUUUUAAAAAAGCAUAUAAUGUUUAACUUUUUGAUAAUUUGGA